rnacentral:rRNA from 1 species
AUUGAACGCUGGCGGCAUGCCUUACACAUGCAAGUCGAACGGCAGCACGGGUGCUUGCACCUGGUGGCGAGUGGCGAACGGGUGAGUAUACAUCGGAACGUACCUUAUCGUGGGGGAUAACGCAGCGAAAGCUGUGCUAAUACCGCAUACGCCCUGAGGGGGAAAGCGGGGGAUGGCAAGACCUCGCGCGAUUAGAGCGGCCGAUGCCUGAUUAGCUUGUUGGUGGGGUAAAAGCCCACCAAGGCGACGAUCAGUAGCUGGUCUGAGAGGACGAUCAGCCACACUGGGACUGAGACACGGCCCAGACUCCUACGGGAGGCAGCAGUGGGGAAUUUUGGACAAUGGGGGCAACCCUGAUCCAGCAAUGCCGCGUGAGUGAAGAAGGCCUUCGGGUUGUAAAGCUCUUUUGUCAGGGAAGAAACACCGGCUCUAACACAGUCCGGGAAUGACGGUACCUGAAGAAUAAGCACCGGCUAACUACGUGCCAGCAGCCGCAGUAA